UGGGAAGUGUUUGAGGUGGUCACCCUGCAGGCUCCCCAGCAUCCAGCCCUGCUCUAGCUAGUCCAGCCUUUGGAGCCAUCAGCAGUGGGCAGGGCCAGCCCUCCUGCCCUCCUGCUUUCAGGCUUUCUUAGCUUCUCUGUACUGCUUAGGCCCAGGGCCCACUCUCCAAGGGACUACAGCUGGCUAGGGGCUGGGCCAGAUCUUUUGACCUCACACCUUCAGAGCGUGUUUGCCCACUCCCUCCACCAUGGCCAGCUCUGCUGUGCUGCCCUGGGGAGUACAGGGCCCUCUCUCCUGAAUACUGCACCUGGUGGGAGGCAGGACCAGUGAGCAUACUGGCAUUAAAAAAAAAAAAAAAAA
rnacentral:lncRNA from 1 species